UAGUAUUCUAUAAAUUCUGUCCUGUCGAGAUGCCCCGUUAUAAAACGGAGCGACCGAUUGACAUGAUUUUCAUUUUUUCUGAAUUCAAUAAAAUAGGACAGAUAUAUGAACUACGCGGAGAGAAAUAUAGAACCGAGUUUGAUCUUAAAUUCAUAUUAGUUGAUGUUCACUAGUUGUUGUUGAGAGUCGAGAGCUCAUGUAGUCGUUGUCUAAGAGGCCUCCUAGCUAAAUAAAAUUACAAAUAACUCCCCAGGCCUCUACACAACACCCCCAUUUUCUUUCUGGGUCUCUUACCGCCCCCCUUGACACCUGCAGCGCCCACAAGGGGGCGUUAUCGCUAGUGAUGAGCGAUAUUUCACUACCGGUGAUUUUUUCACUGUGAUUGAAAAAUCGCAGAUCGCAACUGCGAUCACUUUUUAUAAAUAGCAGUUCGAAACUGUGAUCGCAGUUCGAACCAGUGAUUGCGAUCGCAGUUCGAAACUGUGAUCGCAGUUCGAAACUGUGAUCGCAGUUCGAAUCAGUGAUUGCGAUCGCAGUUCGAAACUGUGAUCGCAGUUCGAACCAGUGAUUGCGAUCGCAGUUCGAACCUGUGAUUUACGAUAGCAGUUCGAACCUGUGAAUUACGAUCACAAUAGCAAAUAGCAGAAAAGUAACAACUUUGUUCAGGGUAUUGUAUAUAUCGUAUAUGCUAUUUUGCGUCAUAGCGGUUUGAAGUUUUGAGUGUAACGUUCUUAUAAUUUUUAAUAAUGGCAGGAAAUGUAUCAAGGAAAAGAAGUGAAGUGUGAUGUUUGUAGUGGUAGAUGAAAUAUAAUCAAAAUGGAAUAUUUUAAUUUGUUUUAAUAAAACUUUUAAUUUUACUUAUUGUUAAAACCAAAUUUGAAAGCUUUUUGUGUUGAAAACAAGAAUUGUAACUAAUUAAUUUCAGAAAAAAUGGUGGAAUAAAAAAAUUACGGGUUUUUAAUAUUUUCCCAAAGAUUAGGAAACUCCCGUUAUUAAUUUGGUCUUGAAAAUAUUAAAAGCGGAUCAUACCAACAUACAAAUGAACUAUGCAAUAAGCUCUAAGUUUCAGGUAGCCGAACCGCUCCAACAUUUGCGAAAAUGUAGUGAAAAGAAAGGCGUAAAAACUUGACUCGUGUUACAGGAACCAAAAGAGAAUUUACCGCCAAUAACGACAAAAGGUUCAGUCGUUCCCACGACAGUCGGGUGCACGUAACUGGACGGGACCCGGACUUGUAUUCGGCCAAACACUGUCAAAUCGGCAGAAUCUGCCGCUACAACAACAACAACAAAAGGUCUCCGUUUUAACGUCGACUUAGUUGCGAUCGCAAUAGCAAUAUAAAAUCGCAGUGAUUUAAAAAUAGCAAUCACAGAAAUCACAGUGAUUUAAAAAUCGCAAUAUCGCUCAUCUCUAGUUAUCGCCCACUUUGGGAAACACUGGUUUAGAUUGUGAAGAUUUAAUCGACCAAUUUGCAAUUCAAAAAGUCAGGCGUGUUUGCCUGUGGAAAAAAUUAUUGUAAUACAAUUAUUAGUCAAGCUCAGUGCAAAAUAAUUGUAGUUUUAAGGACAAGAACCUAUAUUUUUAUAUUAUACUGAAGUAUUAUAUGUGUACAUAUAUAGUAAAUUAUUUACAAUACAUUAAAUAUUUUAAUUUCUUAAAAACAUAAUAUCAAAUCUAAAUAAUUUUGAGUGAAAUUUCAGUGACGGGGCGGUAUUUUUUCCAGUGUCCAAGGACGGCAAAAAUUUAAAUCUGGUCCUGCGCGUUGGUGAACUAAAGGGAAUACACUUGCAAUUCUUGACUUGGUCAAGAUGUUGUAUGGCCUUUUCAAGAAAUUAUAAAUUGUCGUCUAUUGUUUUUCGUUUUCGUGUGCUUUCAGAAUCCAUCUAAAAAUAAAAAAGAAGCUAAAAUUAGUUCAACUUUUCUUUCAGACUCUAAAAGCUAAAAUGAAUCUAUUACAUGUCGAAAUUAUGAAACCACCUGGAACAGGCUCAUAUUAUUACAAUUAUAAAAAAUCCUACUCUAUUGUUAUGAUGGCAAUCGCUAAUGCGAAAUAUGAGUUCAUAGCCGUUAAUGUCGAUGCAAACGGAAGAAUUAUCGAGAGCUAGACGGGUCGUUGAAAAAGCGUUCGGAAUUUUAUUCAGCCGAUUUCACGUUCUUGCAAAGAGGAUACAUUUGAGUCCAUAAAAUGCAUCGAAAUUAGUUUCGACAUGAACUUUCAAAAUUAAGACCGCUUCAAAGAGCAAAUGCAGCAAAAUGUGUACUUAAUAAAUAUAUAAAAAUAGUAUUUCAACACAGUUGGAUUAGUUUCAUGGCAAAAAAAAUUCAAUAAAAUAAUACACAUUGUUACAAAAGUA